CGGUGUCUUCAAGUUAAAUCGGAAAAAAUCUUGUUCAAGUCAAAUCGGAUAACACAUAAUAAAAGUGUUAGACUUCGACACUCAUAAAGUAGCGUAGAUAUAUGUCCGGAUUAAUCAUCAUGAUCAUGAUCAAAAGAACUGCACAAGGGUAGGCGUGGCAGGUAGCGCUUUAUUUCCCGUGUAUUAUAGAGGGUGCGCUAGGUUCGUGUGCCCAAUUGAGUGUCGAAGUCUAGGCUGGGCUGCUCGUGCUGCGGACGGCCUCAGGUACCGCCGCGGCCGCUCGGCGGCGGCGCCCAGGAGGACCCCGGCGAGCACCGGCGACGAGAAGCAGCGGUAGGAGCGGGAGGUGAGCGACCGGUAGAUGGAUAAGUGCGCGCCGAAGGAGGAGUGGGCGUGGCUCGAGCUGGAGGUGUCGGUGGCCCUGCUGGCGUGGCCGCAGAGGGGGCCCACGAGGAGGACCGGGGUCGGUCGGAAUCUGGCGGAGCAUUAGCAGCAGGAGCUGCGGGAGUCCAAGCUAAAGCACCGUGGCUCAUGUAAGAAACUUCUCUUCGUCGGUACCUACCUGUUCAACGUCCAGGACGUCUUCGACCGACGACUGCUCUUCUUGAGACGAUCCUAGAAGUUUCGAGACCGACUGGGUGGCUGGUGGUCGGAAGUUGCAGAAUUCCGAGAGUGUUGCCCACCAGAGGGAUGGAAAUAACUACAGCCGUUAUCGAAACCUCGAGGUCGUUAUCACCUUCUGUUAUAUUACGUAGUCGACUAGUUUUUACCUUUCUCCCAUCAGUACUACCCUCUACUAUGUACCUGUGUCAAUAUGGGUCUCGUGAAGUUGUUCAGUAAAGGUAUGGGAAGAAAAUUACAAUUUCUAGAGCUGUGCCAUCUGUUACCACAAUAACUGGUGAACGAAGGAAGUGACGUGCUUUUACUAACCCUGCAAGAAUAACGUGUAAAGGAACCACACCUGGUACGUCCCGUAUAUAAGCCACAACUGAGAUGGGGCUACUAGGUCUUCAACCUCGUUAUGUUAGUUUAGGAUCUCCUACAUUAACUGUGUAACUUUUCGGAUAGUUGUGGACCACCAGGGGUACUUUUAUGAAAUGAGGAACAUUACCCUCUAGUACCGGUUUGGGAUUUACCACUGGUACCUCCUCCUUGACGACUUCUCCAACUUCGUAGAGACAAACGUACCUCAGGUUUCUGUGGUGGGCUACGACAGAAUAGACAAGAACCACUUUUAAGUACGUUAAAACUAGACGUACCCUUUCUUCACACGCAGUCGUGAUACGUCGUCGAACUAAAACGUCAUUGACAUAGUCGUGAUGAGCCAUAUGGAAAAGGAAAACCUUCGUAACCUGCACAUUUGGGUCUUAACAUACGAAACUCACGACCCUGUACCCUAUUAGUUUACUGCCCAUAAUUACGUACGUGCGGUGCCCUACUGGAUCUUCGCACCUUUUACUCUAUACGACUUCGGGAAACACAUUUAUCAACCGUCCAUUUCUCUAUGUAACUAGUUAUAAGACCAUCAAGAUAGUAACCUAAAAGUCGACUUAUGGAUGUGGUACAACUCCUCGACAUAAGUUUUCGAGUCCGCUUGACCAGUCUCCAAAACUUCAGAUGUACGGGUAGCCUUUGUCGAUUCCCUCUUCUUAAAUUCCUCUCGCGUUCAAGACGAGACGUCAACGUUUAACUACGUAUGAGAUCGAAGAACCUUUCGAAACGUUUCGAACGAGCGAGACGAACCUGCCUCAAACUAAAUACCAACUACCCGUGACCAGAAAAUGAAUACUAUGACAGUCAAUAGUGAGUCCGUAUGUAUGAACACUCCGACUUACGACAUACAGUUGGUAGUCUAGUCCUUACACGAUCAAGUUCCUAGUAGGGGUUUAAUAAGAAACGAAAAUGUAACCAGUGCUAAGCUCGUCGCUCAAAUGAUAGGUUGUCAAUAUAUAACCGUCUUCCAUCUCAAUGUUUGAAAGAAAACCGGUGCUCAACGUAACGGUCACACACCUCGAGCCGGUGUUUGCCCUUGAAGUGGUAUCUUCUCAAAUAAAAGGAAGAAGAUUUAUAAAAACGUGUUAAACCUUAACUCGAACCCUACAGUUUUGUUUAACGACCCGGUUGACAAUGUUUUCUGGUGGGUCACUCGUAGCAAACACUGUAAAAACCAAGGUCAAAAACGUUACAGAGGUACCUAUAUAAGGGGUAGUAUAGAGAACGGUACCACUGGACGUAACAUAAUUUCGAGUAGUGGAUACGCCAGGUAGUCUCCAAGAACUUCAUGAAGUAAUACACACGUUGGUAGAACUCGAUAUGUAAAUAUCGUUUAAUAACCCGAAGGCUUUCAUGAAAUGACAGAGUAUGAUUUCGACAAGUUCUUUAACCUUCUUCAAACCGAGGAGCGAAACAAAUACGAUAACCUCCAAACAGUAACCAUUAUAGACACGAAACCGCUAACAAACGGGGUCAACUAAGAAACUUCAAGUUGUUUUCCUAUUGAUCAAAUAGUCGACGGUACGACACAAGUACCUCGGGUUGAUAGAACUACAACAACCCUUCCGUUCCACGAAAACAUCGCAAUUAAACGUAGUGACCUCGAACCACGUAUUAUUACAAAGUCGUCUUUAUAGUCUUUCUGAACUUUGAACUACGUUGUCCCUCAACACAACGAUUGGGACAUAGUCAUUGUGUUACCUCGGAAGAACGUCAAACAGAUAAGAUAGACUGACCAGUGACCACAUGGAAACUACCGGAAGCGAUACCACGACGUAAGUAACCCAAACUGUUAAAGGUAUAGUAAGCAGUUCCCAAAGAAGAAAGAUAGCUAUGGAAACCACAAAGAGUGUAGGACGGUCAAGAAUCAGAAGGUAAAUAACGGUAGGUGACAAUAUUAUGACGUAACUUCUUUUCGUUCCACUUCCUACAGUGGUAGUUAUAAGAUUAUGUCCAGGUAAACUACAUACCAGAUUAAUGUCGAUAGUGAUGCUGUCAAUGUUAGCAUACGCAGUGCUAAGUUUCCGCAGUGAACUACCACACCCCAAACAAACGUGGCUUUAUACAUAAACUGCGCUAACCCGAAGAGGAUUGUCUGAACGAUUAAACAGAGCAAAGAAACAUGAUGUNNNNNNNNNNNNNNNNNNNNNNNNNNNNNNNNNNAAAACGAAGAACCCUGUAUAUACGACAUGUAAAAGCACUCAUGUGACGUUUAACCGCGUUUUAAUACAUGUGACUCAAUCCAAUU
rnacentral:rRNA from 1 species